AUUUCCAAUCAGGCAUACUCCUGCGCAACCAAAUAUUUAAAGGGGCCACAACCAACGUCGCUCAAGAGGUAUUUACAUAGCUUUUACUUUGCCGAGAACCAUAGAGAGCACCGUAGCUGAGAGUAUGGGAAGAAUAGAGCUUGUUCAUUGGUGCACCGUUUGCGCGUGCGUAUUGUGUCUUCUAUUUCAAACAGGGUCUGUAAAAAUGGGGCAUAAUACAGAUGGUGAAUUGGUGCGGCGCGAAUGGAGAAGGCAGAUGGAAGUGCACCUCUGCGGUGUGGGUUGAUUCCUCUAAGGGAAGUCAACCCACCUUUUAAUUUCACUGAUCUGCAACCUGAUGGCCAGUGGCUACGUCCCCCUCCAGCUGCUGAUGUCAAGAAGAGGGGACACCCUCACUGAGGAGCCUUCACAGCCAGUGAUCUGAGGAGCAGGCAUUGCGUUGGGCAAUGUGCCCAAUGUUUUUGGAGUACUUGAGGGGUACGUGUGAACGGUCAAGUUUGUAAUGGUAUGGUUUAGGUCACUGUUUCAUUGAGUGUUUAAGUCCUUUGAGUCCACCUAGCAAAAAAUUGGUGAGAAAAGAGAGAGAUUUUUUCCCUGAGAUUUAAAGGUGCCGUCUAAGAUUUUGGUGAAAUGUUGUUGAAAUAAAAUACCAAAUGAAAUGUUAUACAUUUGUGUUGAAACAAA